UACGUAGGGUGCAAGCGUUAAUCGGAAUUACUGGGCGUAAAGCGUGCGCUGGUGGUUUUGUAAGUCAGAUGUGAAAUCCCCGGGCUCAACCUGGGAAUUGCGAUGGAGACUGCAAAGCUUGAAUCUGGCAGAGGGGGGUAGAAUUCCACGUGUAGCAGUGAAAUGCGUAGAGAUGUGGAGGAACACCGAUGGCGAAGGCAGCCCCCUGGGUCAAGAUUGACGCUCAUGCACGAAAGCGUGGGGAGCAAACAGG
rnacentral:rRNA from 1 species